AACGAACGCUGGCGGCAUGCCUAACACAUGCAAGUCGAACGAGACCUCCGGGUCUAGUGGCGCACGGGUGCGUAACGCGUGGGAACCUGCCCUUAGGUUCGGAAUAACUCCCCGAAAGGGGUGCUAAUACCGGAUAAUGUCUUCGGACCUAAGAUUUAUCGCCUUUGGAUGGGCCCGCGUUGGAUUAGCUAGUUGGUAGGGUACAAGCCUACCAUGGCGACGAUCCAUAGCUGGUCUGUGAGGAUGCUCAGCCACACUGGGACUGAGACACGGCCCAGACUCCUACGGGAGGCAGCAGUGGAGAGUAUUAGACAAUGAGCGAAAGCCUGAUCCAGCAGUGCGGGGUAAGUGGGGAAGGGCUUAGGAUAGUAAAGCUCUUUUACCCGAGAUGAUAAUGACAGUACCGGGAGAAUAAGCACCGGCUAACUCCGUG
rnacentral:rRNA from 1 species